GUUUCUUUGGCAGUGUCUUAGCUGGUUGUUGUGAGCAAUAGUCAAGGAAGCAAUCAGCAAGUAUACUGCCCUAGAAGUGCUGCACAUUGUUGGGCUUUGCCUCGGCCCUGCCCGGGGCUGGGACGCUGCCCAGGGGUCUCUGAGGAGCUGCAGCUGAUGGCAGGAGUGCCACGGGACGCCUGAUGCCACUGCAGAGAGGGGCGAGAAGAGCAGGAGGAGAUGAACAAACACUCUGCUGCAAGUUUGGUUCUUUCUCUGUCCUUCCCCAGUGCCUCUGGAGGGCUCUGUUGCACCUUUCCCUGCAGCAGAGCUCUCCUCCUGCUGCCUUGCACUUCUUCUGGUCCAAAUCCUUGUGGGAAACAGCUGGAGUGAGGCUCAGGGCAGCUGAUGAGUGUUGUGACUUCUUUCCAGCUCGGGGCUCUCAUUUUCAGCUUUUCUGUCUCACCUGUGCUAAAACCUGUGGGCAGCCCUUUCCCUCGCCCAGGGUGUUUGAUUGGCACUAAAAGCUACACCCCAAAAAUCCUACCAUGGUGCAGUCCUUACCUUGCUAUUAUAGAUAAUGAGAAUAUUAGAAAAAUACCAGUGAAAGUUCCACGAAGAUCACUGCAGGGGCAUUCUUUGCCUUCUGUGUAAAUGCCCUUUCCAGUGCCCCCUCCCUCCGUGCUGGGCUGGGCUGGGCUCAUGAUCAGGUCUUAAAUGCAACUUUUGAUGUUUGUUGGUGGCAUGCUCUGUUCCAUUAUGGAAUGUACAAUAUUAAUAUCUUUAUUUUUCUCCACACAGCUGCAGCAUGAAGGAAUAUCCCAUAUUAAUCCCCUAAUUUAAAUUUGAAAUUAAUAACUAUCACAACACUGGGAGCAUCCUUUAAUCCAUUGAUUGCUGCUGGCUUGGUUCCAGCAGUGCCACUAAUUACAUUCUGCCUGCAAAAAAAAAAAUCCUCAUUGCUGGUGGCUUUUCUUCUGAGAGCUGCUGGCUGGAGUUCUUGUGCUGUGGCUGCAGCUUGGGACACUUUUUAAUGCUAAUGGCACUGUUGGAAAUGACUGAGCAUCUCUGCUUGCUGUGUGUGGGGUACAGACUCUGCUCUGGGGAUGGGACAGGACAGACUCAAUCCUCACCCAGCAGCUUUUUCCAGGGUCCUGUUUGUUCCUCCAUCCCCACCCUGAGCCUGCCAACAGCUGAAGGUUUGUUACUCCAGGAGCUGCCUCUUGUGCUGGUCUGGUGAAAGGGCAUUUCCAGAGGACUGGGAAUAAAUUAAAAUAGCUUUAAUUCAACUUUUCAGUUAGUGUAUCCAGAGGAUGUGGAACGAACUAAAAGUAGCUUUAAUUCCCUCAUUUUCAGUUCCUGUGAUGGCAUGAGGGUGCCUUGGGUGGCAGAUCUGGCUCCUGGAGGAGAGUGGGAACUGCUGGAAUUGAGGGUGGAUGGAACUGCCUGCCUGCCUUGCUGCUCCUUUUCCUUGGUUGGACACGCAGGGAAUGUAUUUCCUUGUGGGUUUUUUACUUGAGUCUUCUGAAUCUCCUUGAAGAAAGGUGUCUGGAGGGGGCAGCUGCUGAGAGAUGCCUCUGAAGGCUCUGAGUGAUCAUUCUGGAAUUUUCUGAGCAGCCCUGGAUGUCUCUCAGCAGUGCUGUAUCAAAAGCUGUCAGUAUUGGUGUCUGUCCAAAAUGGAAGAGUAGGGGUUAAUGAAGUCAAGGAUUAGGUCCUUAGUCUGUGCCAGGAGUGCAAGAAAUGUACUUUUUUUUGUCACAUGCUAGAAAAAGCCACAAAGGACAAGCCUGAGUGUUUCUCCUCUCUCAGGAGCCUUCCUUAACCCUGCUCCCCUGGCUUUGCCUUCAGCCCACGCAGCGACCCCGAGGAUCAGGUGCUGACUUAGGAAACGCUCCCGUUCUCCUGGAAAUGAAGAGCCCAGUGCUGCUGCAGAUUCCUUGGGGCUGGAGGAGGAACAGCUGCUCCCCUGCCCUGCAUGAGGAGGUGACAACAUCAGGUGACAGCAGUGCCACAGAGAUGCUGAACGUCCUGCAGGUGGAGGAGCUGAGAAAGUGGAAGGUGAUGGGAAUCUUUAGUAAGAAUUAUUUGCCUUUUGUCGCUCAGUUUUGAAUCACAAUCUCUUUGAGUAUGGCCUGCUGUUGAGCAGUGACUUCUGUGUGCAAACUAUUUUAGAAAGCAGGGAGAGACCCGGCAGAAAAUCCUCUGCCUGUCCUAUUUCUGAUUGCUAAGGCAAAGAUCCACUUCUCUGGUUUUUAUUUCAACGAUUUAUGAUGACCUGACGAGCCGUAUUUUUUUUUAGAACUGAGGAAAAAGGAAUAUCUGAAUCACAGCCACAAGUCAGUGGAAAUGCAAGUUCUGGAUUUAUCUUGGUUCUCUAUCUGGCAAGACUUAAUUAAGCUGUGUUGUGGAGCCACAUCCAUCACCCAAAAUAAAAGCAGUGCUCACUAGGCAGGGUGCUUGUCUGGAUGUCUGUGGUAGGUGGGGCUUGUGCUAUAAAAGUGGGGAAAAGGGAAACCAGGGAACAAGGAGGAGGCCAAGAAUGUGUAAGAGCAACAACUGGGAAUGCAGCCUCGACAAAGCUUUGUCUAGUGAGUUUUUUUGAGGGGUCGGAUGGUAUCAGAUUAGUGUGAGGCAAAUGCAAGUUGCUGCAGCUUCCGUUUCCUAUAAGGAACAUGCAGGAGGCAUCACACUCCAAAAUAAAUUCCUAAAAAAGUAAAGGCUGUUUGACUGAAGUUUAACCGAGUGGUAAUUAAGGUACCUUGGAAGAAGAUGUCAUUUCCAAAGGCAGCAGCUUGUGUAUAAAUCUGUGUGUAAAUCCCGGUGGCUCUGGCUCAGCAGGGAGGAGAGCUGGAGGUGUCCGUGGGGGAGGCAGGAGACAACAGCAACGCGGGGGUUCAUUCCUGCCUGGCUCCCGGCGGCCCGGGCGGGUUUUUUGAGUGAAAGAUAAAAA